GAUGAACGCUGGCGGCGUGCCUAAUACAUGCAAGUCGAGCGAACAGACGAGGCGCUUGCUCCUCUGCCGUUAGCGGCGGACGGGUGAGUAACACGUGGAUAACCUACCUAUAAGACUGGGAUAACUUCGGGAAACCGGAUCUAAUACAGGAUAAUAUAUUGAACCGCAUGGUUCAAUAGUGAAAGACGGAUUUGCUGUCACUAAUAGAUGUAUCCUGGCUGGAUUAGCUAGUUGGUAAGGUAACGGCUUACCAAGGCGACGAUGCGUAGCCGACCUGAGAGGGUGAUCGGCCACACUGGAACUGAGACACGGUCCAGACUCCUACGGGAGGCAGCAGUAGGGAAUCUUCCGCAAUGGGCGAAAGCUUGACGGAGCAACGCCGCGUGAGUGAUGAAGGUCUUCGGAUCGUAAAGCUCUGUUAUUAGGGAAGAACGAAUGUGUAAGUAUCUAUGCACGUCUUGACGGUACCAAAUCAGAAAGCCACGGCUAACUACGUG
rnacentral:rRNA from 1 species